CGGGCUGUAGCGCAGGGGAAGCGCACCUCGUUCGGGACGAGGAGGUCGUCAGUUCAAAUCUGACCAGCCCGA
rnacentral:tRNA from 1 species